CAAAGUGAGACCACAUGCUCCUGUUCCACGAUGCCCCAUCAGUGGUCACUACAUCUACCAGGAGUCCUGCAUUCUCAAGUAGGAUGAUGCACUCGAGGACAAGUUUGUGCAGUACAUUUCCUGGUGCACUGCCCUUGCUGAGGAAGCAUGCCAAGGCCUGAACCCACUUGCCCCUGAAAGGCUGGAACAUGAAGACCAGGGCGUGGUCUCCCUUCUUGCUCUUCUGGGACUCUGGCAUCAGGAACACAUUUGCUUGCACUCUACAUGAUUAAAAUAACAGCCCAGAACCAAGUGCAGUCAAGCACCAAGCUGCCCACAGUGCUGCCAAGUGGCUGCCCACAAGAGCACUUCACAAAGGAGGAAGAAGAAACCUAUUUGAUGUUUUACUUUCAAUAAACUAGCGAAACU